UACAGAGGGUGCAAGCGUUAAUCGGAAUUACUGGGCGUAAAGCGCACGUAGGUGGGUGCUUAAGUCGGAUGUGAAAUCCCCAGGCUUAACCUGGGAACUGCAUCCGAUACUGGAUGGCUUGAAUCCGGGAGAGGGAUGCGGAAUUCCAGGUGUAGCGGUGAAAUGCGUAGAUAUCUGGAGGAACACCGGUGGCGAAGGCGGCAUCCUGGACCGGCAUUGACGCUGAGGAGCGAAAGCCAGGGGAGCAAACGGG
rnacentral:rRNA from 1 species